AGAGCCCUAGAAGUAGAGGAUAGUAGUCAAAGGAAAGUUUGCCUUUCUGUAUCCGUAUUGUUUGAAUUUUUUUGAGGAGAAACUCUUUAGGGAGUAAUCACUUAAAACUUAAUUCCAAAGAGUAAAAUUACAUUUUUUUGUUGUACUCCAUGUCAUCCUGAUGGCUUUAUUUCUACCAGCGUGGAUCAUGCUCAGAGGGACUCAGUUUGUUACCUUAAUCCCCGUGGAAUGCCUAGAUUAAUCCCAAAGUUUUAGGGAGGAUGGUCUGACAUGGCGGAGAGAGGGGAGAGUGUGGAUUUAAUUUUAUUUUCCUCAAAACUACUCAUUACCUUCUCCCUCCUGAUGAUUGCCGUUACACACCUUUACCUCAGGUCCGCCAAAACUCCUUGAAUAUAAUAAUAAUGAUGACGGCGAUGAUGUUGAUGAUGAUGAAAACUGAAUAAUGGAAAUCCUGCUAAUAAUAAAUGACAAUAGUUAUGCCAUUUUGAACAUGAACUCUACCCCAGAUACUCUCCUAUACACUUUCAUGCAUUAUCAUUCUUUUUUUAACCUUUAUCACCAGUCUGAGGUAAGUACUAUUAUUAUCCCCAUUUUAGAGGUGAGAAACCGAGGCUUGAAGAAAUCAGUGAGCCGGACUGCAGCCAGCUGGCUGGUGAGUGGAGGAGGCUGGACCGGAACCCAGAGUGUUUGACUUGAGUCUGCGCUCGGGCACAGGUGUUAGCGUUUCUUGUACUUAGAGAAACGCCGACCACCAGUGUCUGCGGGAGCAGGGCGUCCAGGCUGGAAAAUUGAACUGGUCUGAACUAGAAUGUGUUUGCUUUGGAGAGGCCUUCUGUGUGAUCUGGUUCCCCAUUGCUUCCUCCUCGUGCUCCUUUGAGCCUUUCAAUUUGAGGUUUCAGCUGCCGCUGGGUUACCACAUCAGGCGCCUGUUUCUAUCAGGCAGUGUGUACCAAGGGGGAAAAUCUCCGGAGAGCGAGAUCUCAUCUGCUUUCAUGUACACGCCUCACAACAAUUUCUCAGUUGCCAGCUCCUCUUACUUGAAACAGCAGCCUAGAAACAUCUCUGAAGAGAGAGAAGACCUAGCUUCCUGGAGCACACCAUAAUGGUUGGAGAAUUAAAUGACACUGAAAAUUCAGAAGAUGAGGGGAAACAGAUUAAAACUGCAACCACGAGAUGAAUGAAGAAAGAGAAGAGUCGUUUAGGGAGAUGGAAGGUGACACUUUGCCAUUUCUGCAUUCCUGAAAGAAUUAUAUGAACACGAUCUUCUCCUAACAGUAAUGUUUGACUUAGUGGUGGCUGGCUCUGUGUUAAUGCUUGGGGUCUUAAUUGGUGAUCGGAUCAUCAGGAAACCAAGAAACAAAGAUGUUCCUUGAGCUGCCAGAGAAAAAACUGUGGUAUGUACCACAAUGGGCUGAGAAAGUUCGUUUUUGGAUUCCACACUCCCUUUCCCACCCUGCUGUAGGUGGCCUGCUACUCGGCUGUGAUACUCCUGGCAGCCUUGGCGAACCUGGCCAGCACCACACUGGGCAUCACCAUUCAGAAGGACUGGAUCGUGAGCCUCACACAUGACAACAGAGGCCAGCUGGCUGGUGAUCUGGGUCAUGGUCUUCUAAUCAGUCGAGAGGUAGGCCUGGCUCGGUGAACACAAUUGAUGAGUCAAUCAGGGCUCUGAGAGGGGCAGUAAAGUCGCCUUUAAGAGAGAGGCAUCUGGAGUCAAACAGACCUGGAUUUGAAUCCCGUUAAAACGAACCAUGGCUCUUACCAGCUGCAAUUUACAUAACUUCCCCAGACUCUACUUUCCUCAUCUGUAGAACUGGAGAAACAGACCUCACACCCACACCCCAUGCCUGCUCAGUUUGGAGAAUUCUGUGAGAUACAGGAUUUGUAAAGCACUUGGACCUACAUCUGCAGGCAGGAAGAAAUGGAUGCCAUUGUUAUUAUCAAAGAGAUAACAUAAACUGUACUUUCAGGAGAGAAGCCCCUCAAAAUAUGGCAGAGAAGUCCCAUGGCAAUUUUAGACCUGCAACAUAAGUGGAUUAAAAGAUUUCUUCAUUCUGGCCAGUGAUAAGCUUCUAUGUCCCCUGCAAAAAAUGCGUCAGGGAAUGUGACUGUUGAUUAUCACUUAUCACUGAUAGUGAGAGGUAGAAUUUUUUCCAACAAUGGAGCUAAAUGGGAGAAUCUGGCAUCUUUGUUUUUUCUUCCAUUUAUAAAACUUGGAUCAUUCACAUUGUGAUAUAUUCAAAUUGCCAGCUUAAAAACUGGAGAUCUUGCCCAACCCUAUAUUUGUGGAAUUGGUACUCUCUGCUAGAAAAUGUUCGUGAGUUGGUAGCCAAGAUAAAGGAAGCUAUCAUGGAGAAGUCUAUUAAAAUAUACUCCUUACAAAGAGUAGAAGUCCCUUAUAAUCAUGUCUUCUCUUAAACUACACUUAUUUGGAUGGUACUGUGGCUUAAAUAACACCACCCAAAAUAAAACAGCUAGGCGGGUAAAAGCUGGGUGACAUGGUGUUGAAAGUGUCCUCUGUCUCUGGGUAAAAGAAAAUCUUCCUAGCCUCUCUUAAUUGCUUUUAAAGAAAUCUAAAAUAAAACACAGAUCCUGUUUCGAGGUUCACUAUGAUUUUUUAAGUGAGCCUGCAAGUAUGUUCUUCAGCAAUGGUGGAAUAGUUAGGAGAGUAAGCUUUGGAGUCAGCCUGCUUGGAUUUGAAUCUCAACUCCCCCACUUACCUUCCCUGUGACCCUGAGCAAAAAAAGUUCACCUCUUCGUGCCUCUACUUCUUAAUUUGUUAAAGGGAGCUAUUGCCAGUCUCUUAGAGUUGUUGUGAGGGUCAGUGAGCCGGGUGUGUGGAAAAGGCUUAGAACUAGGUGCCUGGCACUAGGAAGUUUGCUACUAGUUCUGUCCUUCUUCUUCCUCCCCCUCAUCGACAUGUUAGUCAUAAUAACAUAAUGACUAGUUAAUAUCAUUGUUGUUGUUAAGAUAGCAGGAUGUGACAGAAAAGAGAAGACAGGAGACCGAAGUUAGAAUAAUUAGCUCCAAGUGACCUUGUCCUCAGUUUACUCCUCUGUUAAUUAUUCAAGUUCAAUAGAACUGAUCUUGAAGGCUUUCUUCAAGUUGAAAAUCCUGUGAUGAAUCCAUAGUUAGCCUGAAAGGGAACUUUUCUGUUUCCACCGCAGUUCACCCCAUACACGGCUAGCAAAUGCACCCUGUUAAAUUCACCAGGAGGAAGGACUCAGCCACUGAGCUGCAAUGUUCCAUUCCCCUCACUUACAGGGAUGAACGCAGUGGUCCAGCAGCUGGACCAGAUCAUUAAUGUAUUUGCUCCCUUGUCCGUGGGCCAGGUGAUGACAUGGGCGUCUCAUGUGAUUGGUUAUGGUUUCAUUCCUGGAUGGAACUUGGUUUCACUUCUUGUGGAGUUUCUAUUUCUGUCCAGGGUUAAUCAGCUAGUUCCCCAAUUGGCUGUAAAACCCCAGCAACAAAGAGGGGGGCACUUCCAAGAAAGGUGACAGGAGGCCGUGAACCUUCAAGGUAAGAUAAACUCAGAGGCAGCUAUUGUCCUUUAUUUUUCCUUUAUGUCAGUAUUUCAUUUCUUCUUUUCAGAGCUUGUGUCUGAUUAUAAUCUCCACAUUUUGUCUGCAAAUGUGCCUAUAAACAGUGAAAAAAUGAGAAGGUUCCAACUGUGCCAUUGGUCAUAUAGUUCAUAUGGCUGAUCUCAUUGGUGGGGGCAGGUGGGGACAUCAUGUGCAGUUACACAGGUUGUACACUGCCCCAUUCCAGGGGCUUUAUUUAGAGAGACUCUAAUGUGAGUAGCAUUCCCAUGGGACUGUGCAGUAUUUAACCUGUACAACCUAUUUCAUGGUCCUGGGGGUAAAUUUCUUCUUCUUCUCUCUCAUCAUCCUCCUCCUUAAAGAUGCUAAGUUAGAAAGACAAAUAUCUCAGAUAGUAUGGGCUGCUCUUUGGCCAAGAUAGUGUAAUGCAUUGACCAUCUCUGCUAUCAGCAGUGGGGUUUUUUGGUUUUGUUUUUUUUUUUUAAUUAUUUGUUUGUUUGUUUGUUUAAGUGGGCUCCACACUGAGCAUGGAGCCCAUUGUGGGGCUUGGACUUAUAACCCUGAGAUCCAGACCACUGUUUCUAGGCACAUUUGCAAAUCAAGAGUCGGACAUUCAACAGACUAAGCCACCAGGCACCCCUCAGUAGUGUUUUAUAAAGCAAAGAUUCCCUAACAUUAGGGGAUGGGAGGAAGGUGGACCUGCCAGUAGAUAUGAUCUGAAGAUUAAGAGCUCUCCCUGCCCACUGACAGUGUUGCCCAUUUGCCUGGCAUAACAGAGCUCAAGCCUUGCUUCUGAGAUCAGUUUCUUUUCCUGGACUUCUUAUAAUUAAUUAUCUCUUCUCUCAAGCUGUUCUGCAAUUGAAGCCUACCAGAUCUCAUUGUAUGAAUAAAAUAUAUGUAUUUAUAGAGAUAGAUACACGCAUUUAGAUGAUGGAUGGGUAGGUAAGUGGUCAGAGAGACAGAUAAAUAGAUAAAUUGUGCUGUGUCUUUCCAUCUGUCCCUUUUAGCUGUGUAACCAGGCAGAGUCAUUUGACUCCGACUCUGUGUCUCACUGUACAGUAAGGGUAACAAUGACAGGACUGAUUGCAGGAAUGCUGUGGCAGAAAGAUCGCCUCUGCAAAGCCCCAUUUUGCUCCCUGACAUAUAGUGAAACAAGUCAGUGUUAGCUGGGUUUUCAUCGGUGUGGUUAUUGUUAUUAGCUUUCUUUUUCUUUCUUUUUUUUUUUUAAAAUAAAGCUGCUCUGGCAAUAAAUUCAUUUCUACAACCAGGAGCUUCCCUCUCCCCAUAGUUCUUGGGCUACAAUGGAUUUGGCCUGAUCCCCUCUCCUUCCUUCACAGCCCUUUUUGAUUCCUGUUUUUUUUUUUUUUUCCGGAGCUUGUCUUCAUCUGUGCUAAACGCCUCUCACAAAGGGUUCUUUCUUUUUAAAUCUGCUUACAACCAUUGCCUGUUGCAUGCUGGAAGACUGAAAGCUAUUAUCAUUUUCUUUUCACAAGUCUCUUUUUCUUCAGAAACAUAACCAAAGGAAAUAUCCAUCACUGUUUUUAAGAGUUUGUUACCAUGUUUCAAGCCUGUGAAAAUUUGUCUUUCACGCUCUGCUGUAUUUUCUCUCCUGUCAGUGGCCACCUUCCCGACCUCACUGUGUGUCUUAGUUCGGGUUCUCUCAAAAGCAGUUCUUGAGAGGAGGAUUUGGGGUAAACAUAAUCUACUUGGCAGGUGAUCCUAGGAAGCAUGAAGUGGGGAUGGGAAACGAGACAGGGAAAGGAGAAGAGCCAAUAAAGAGUGUGUUGGCAUACAGGUUACUGCGACUGGGGCUCAGUCUUGCCAGGGCUGGGAGACACUGUGUAGGAUUUACCUCAGAAUUGUCCCACCAACGGCUAAGGAAACUGGGGCAUUUCUCCACCUAGUGCUGUUCCCCAGAGGUGUGAUGCCUGGGCAAAUGCAGUACCGCCUGCCCUUGUGUUCCUGGGGCUAGAGAGACUCUCAGAAAGACAUGGGUGCUGGGGAUAGGAAGCCAUGGUCACCCAUAGGAACUGCCCAACAAAGCAGCAGAUGAGGGUGGGGAUGGGCUGAGGGCACUGGGGCAGGGCACUGACGCAAAGGUUAUGGGAUUUUAUUUGAGGUGAAAUGGACUCUUGUGAAACAACUGCUGGAUUCAUCAAUAAACCCAAAACCUUGGGAAGGUUGAAGGACCACAAGUCUAGCCUUGAAGGACACCAGGCCAGAACCACAGGGCUUCCCCUCCUGCCUCCCA